rnacentral:tRNA from 3 species
GCAUCCAUGGCUGAAUGGUUAAAGCGCCCAGCCGGGGCGAAAAUUCGUAGGUUCGAUUCCUGCUGAAUGCA